UACAGAGGGUGCAAGCGUUAAUCGGAAUUACUGGGCGUAAAGCGUGCGUAGACGGUUAUGUAAGUCAGGUGUGAAAGCCCCGGGCUCAACCUGGGAAUGGCAUUUGAGACUGCAUAGCUAGGGUGCGGAAGAGGGAAGCGGAAUUUCCGGUGUAGCGGUGAAAUGCGUAGAUAUCGGGAGGAACACUGGUGGCGAAGGCGGAUCUCUGGGCCUUGCCUGACGCUGAGGCGCGAAAGCUAGGGGAGCGAACAGG
rnacentral:rRNA from 1 species